rnacentral:rRNA from 1 species
GAUGAACGCUGGCGGCGUGCCUAAUACAUGCAAGUCGAGCGAACAGACGAGGAGCUUGCUGGUCUGACGUUAGCGGCGGACGGGUGAGUAACACGUGUAUAACCUACCUAUAAGACUGGGAUAACUUCGGGACACCGGAGAUAAUACCGUAGAAUAUCUUGAACCGCGUGGUUCAAUAGUGAGAGACGGUGUUGCGGUCACUUAUAGCUGCAUCCGCGCUGCAUUAGAUAGUUGUUAAGGUAACGGCUUACGAAGGCAACGAUGCAUAGCCGAACUGAGAGGCUGAUCGCCCACAUUGGAACUGAGACGCGGUCCAGACUCCUACGGGAGGCAGCAGUAGGGAACCUUCCGCAAUGGGCGAAAGCCUGACGGAGCAACGCCGAGUGAGUGAUGAAGGUCUUCGGAUCGUAAAACUCUGUUAUUAGGGAAGAACAGAUGUGUAAGUAACUGUGCACAUCUUGACGGUACCUAAUCAGAAAGCCACGGCUAACUACGUG